rnacentral:rRNA from 1 species
GCCAUGGCGGCCGCGGGAAUUCGAUUAGAGUUUGAUCAUGGCUCAGGACGAACGCUGGCGGCGUGCUUAACACAUGCAAGUGGUGCGACGAACCAGAGCUUGCUCUGGAGCCAAGCCGCGAACGGGUGAGUAACACGUGAGUAACCUGCCCCGAUGACCGGGACAACCCGAGGAAACUCGGGCUAAUACCGGAUGUGGCGCACAGGCGUAAGCCUGUUCGCUAAAGGAAGCUUCGGCCUCCGCAUUGGGAGGGGCUCGCGGCCCAUUAGCUUGUUGGUGGGGUUAUGGCCUACCAAGGCGACGAUGGGUAGCUGGUCUGAGAGGACGAUCAGCCACACUGGGACUGAGACACGGCCCAGACUCCUACGGGAGGCAGCAGUGGGGAAUAUUGCGCAAUGGGCGAAAGCCUGACGCAGCGACGCCGCGUGUGGGAUGACGGCCUUCGGGUUGUAAACCACUGUCGGGGGGGACGAAUGCGCCGCAAGGCGAGUGACGGUACCUCCAAAGGAAGCACCGGCUAACUCCGUGCCAGCAGCCGCGGUAAUACGAAUCACUAGUGAAUUCGCGGCCGCCUGCAGGUCGACCAUAUGGGAGAGCUCCC